UACGUAGGGGGCAAGCGUUAUCCGGAUUCACUGGGUGUAAAGGGAGCGUAGACGGCCAUGCAAGCCUGGAGUGAAAGCCCGGGGCCCAACCCCGGGACUGCUCUGGGAACUGUGCGGCUGGAGUGCGGGAGGGGCAGGCGGAAUUCCUGGUGUAGCGGUGAAAUGCGUAGAUAUCAGGAGGAACACCGGCGGCGAAGGCGGCCUGCUGGGCUUUAACUGACGCUGAGGCUCGAAAGCGUGGGGAGCAAACAGG
rnacentral:rRNA from 1 species